rnacentral:rRNA from 1 species
AACAAACGCUGGCGGCGUGCCUAAUACAUGCAAGUCGAACGGGGAAAGUCUUCGGAUGAGUACUAGUGGCGCACGGGUGAGUAACGCGUGGAUAAUCUGCCUUCGAGUCGGGGAUAACUAGUCGAAAGAUUAGCUAAUACCGGAUAAGACCACAGGAACUGAGGUUCUAGGGGUUAAAGGUUUUUCGCUUGAAGAUGAGU